UGCUAAACGAGGUUUCCAUGUUGAUGUUUAUGAGGCCAGAGAAGAUAUUCGGGUGUCCAGCUUUGCCCGUGGCAGAAGUAUUAACUUGGCCCUGUCACACAGAGGACGCCAGGCCCUGCAGGCUGUGGGGUUGGAAGAGCAGAUUGUGUCUAAAGGCAUCCCCAUGCACGCACGAAGAAUACACACGCCACUGGGGAAGAAAUACUCUAUCCCUUAUGGCAAGAAGAACCAGGUAUUUGUCUGUGCUGCUGUUUUUGUGAUU
rnacentral:lncRNA from 1 species